UACGGAGGGUGCAAGCGUUAUCCGGAUUCACUGGGUUUAAAGGGUGCGUAGGUGGGCUUGUAAGUCAGUGGUGAAAGCCCGGAGCUUAACUCCGGAACUGCCAUUGAUACUGCAAGCCUUGAGUACACUUGAGGUGGGCGGAAUACAUCAUGUAGUGGUGAAAUACUUAGAUAUGAUGUAGAACACCGAUUGCGAAGGCAGCUCACUAAAUUGUAACUGACACUGAGGCACGAAAGCGUGGGGAUCAAACAGG
rnacentral:rRNA from 1 species